CCCUUAGAUGUUCUGGGCCGCACGCGCGCUACACUGACGAAUGCAACGAGCUUAUAACCUUGGCCGAAAGGUCUGGGUAAUCUCCAAAUUUCGUCGUGAUGGGGAUAGAUUAUUGCAAUUAUUAAUCUUCAACGAGGAAUGCCUAGUGAGCGCAAGUCAUCAGCUUGCGUUGAUUACGUCCCUGCCCUUUGUACACACCGCCCGUCGCUCCUACCGAUUGAAUGGUCCGGUGAAGCGUUCGGACCGUGGCCUUUGGACGGUUCGCCGUCUGUUGGCUGCGGGAAGUUCGUUAAACCUUAUCAUUUAGAGGAAGGAGAAGUCGUANCA
rnacentral:rRNA from 1 species